rnacentral:rRNA from 1 species
UAGUAACGGCGAGUGAAGCGGGAAGAGCUCAAAUUUGUAAUCUGGCACCUUCGGUGUCCGAGUUGUAAUCUCGAGAAGUGUUUUCCGCGCCGGACCGCAUACAAGUCUGUUGGAAUACAGCGUCAUAGUGGUGAGAACCCCGUAACUGAUGCGGAUGCCCGGUGCUUUGUGAUACACUUUCGAAGAGUCGAGUUGUUUGGGAAUGCAGCUCAAAUUGGGUGGUAAAUUCCAUCUAAAGCUAAAUAUUGGCGAGAGACCGAUAGCGAACAAGUACCGUGAGGGAAAGAUGAAAAGCACUUUGGAAAGAGAGUUAACAGUACGUGAAAUUGUUGGAAGGGAAACGCUUGAAGUCAGACUUGCUAUUUGGAAUUCAGCCGCAAGGUGUACUUUUCAAUUCGCAGGCCAGCAUCAGUUUUCGGGGGUGGAAAAGGGUAGAGAGAAGGUAGCAAUUUCGGUUGUGUUAUAGCUCUUUGCUGGAUUCAUCCUUGGGGACUGAGGAACGCAGCACGCUUUUUGCAAGGCUUUCGA